GGAGAAGCUUGCUUCUUUGCUGACGAGUGGCGGACGGGUGAGUAAUGCUUGGGAAUCUGGCUUAUGGAGGGGGAUAACUACGGGAAACUGUAGCUAAUACCGCGUAAUAUCUUCGGAUUAAAGGGUGGGACUUUCGGGCCACCUGCCAUAAGAUGAGCCCAAGUGGGAUUAGGUAGUUGGUGGGGUAAAGGCCUACCAAGCCGACGAUCUCUAGCUGGUCUGAGAGGAUGACCAGCCACACUGGAACUGAGACACGGUCCAGACUCCUACGGGAGGCAGCAGUGGGGAAUAUUGCACAAUGGGGGGAACCCUGAUGCAGCCAUGCCGCGUGAAUGAAGAAGGCCUUCGGGUUGUAAAGUUCUUUCGGUGAUGAGGAAGGUGUUUGUUUUAAUAGAACAAGCAAUUGACGUUAGUCACAGAAGAAGCACCGGCUAACUCCGUGCCAGCAGCCGCGGUAAUACGGAGGGUGCGAGCGUUAAUCGGAAUGACUGGGCGUAAAGGGCACGCAGGCGGUGACUUAAGUGAGAUGUGAAAGCCCCGGGCUUAACCUGGGAAUUGCAUUUCAUACUGGGUCGCUAGAGUAUUUUAGGGAGGGGUAGAAUUCCACGUGUAGCGGUGAAAUGCGUAGAGAUGUGGAGGAAUACCGAAGGCGAAGGCAGCCCCUUGGGAAUAUACUGACGCUCAUGUGCGAAAGCGUGGGGAGCAAACGGAUUAGAUACCCUGGUAGUCCACGCUGUAAACGCUGUCGAUUUGGGGACUGGGC
rnacentral:rRNA from 1 species